GAUAAACGCUGGCGGCGUGCCUAAUACAUGCAAGUCGAUCGAUGGAUGCCCAGCUUGCUGGGAGGAAAUAGAGGCGAACGGGUGAGUAAUACGUAAGCAACCUGCCCACGAAGACCGGGAUAAUCCCUGGAAACGGGGACUAAGACCGGAUAGGUAACAGAACCGCAUGAUUUUGUUAUUAAAGGUUAAAAACACUGGUGGAUGGGCUUACGGUGCAUUAGCUAGUUGGUGAGGUAACGGCCCACCAAGGCGAUGAUGCAUAGCUGGUCUGAGAGGAUGAACAGCCACAUUGGGACUGAGACACGGCCCAGACUCCUACGGGAGGCAGCAGUAGGGAAUUUUCGGCAAUGGGGGAAACCCUGACCGAGCAACGCCGCGUGAGUGAAGAAGGUCUUCGGAUUGUAAAGCUCUGUUGUAAGGGAAGAAAUGUACUUUGAGAAAAAGUACUUGACGGUACCUUACCAGAAAGCUACGGCUAACUACGUGCCAGCAGCCGCGGUAAUACGUAGGUAGCGAGCGUUAUCCGGAAUUAUUGGGCGUAAAGGGUGCGUAGGCGGCCAUUUAAGUUCAUGGUGAAAGCGUGGGGCUCAACCCCAUAAAGCCAUGGAUACUGGAUGGCUGGA
rnacentral:rRNA from 1 species